GCCCGGAUGGCGGAAUUGGUAGACGCGUCGGUCUCAAACACCGAUGGAGCGAUCCGUACCGGUUCGAUCCCGGUUCCGGGCA
rnacentral:tRNA from 1 species